rnacentral:lncRNA from 1 species
AGGGCUCAGAAGCAUAGGAGGGGAGCUCCUUCCAGUGCCAACGGGUAGCCCUUUACUGCUAACUCGUUGUGCGACAGGCUUUCUAUAGACACCAAGGUCCCCCUCCCCGCCGUGGAGGAGGAGCCAUCAGUGACGUAAGACUCCGCGUCCCCUGGCUUGAGAGGACCCGCGUCCAGCAGGGGAAGUGCGAGGUUUAUAAGCAGAGGGACCUCUGGUGUCCCCGGGCCCCCCGGGUCGGCAGUGGGAGUGACGGCGUAGGCCGAGCGGCUUCUCAGGCCGCCCCCAAAGCGCCUGGGCGCCUGGGAUGCGGCCUGCGCCCCUUCGCCCUCCGUGGUCCGUUGCCUUCCGGCCUCUCUCGUCCCUCCGUGUUGUUUUCGCGUCCGUUGCUGCGGCAGCUCCCGAAGCCCGAGCGGCGGGUUCCCCGGAUCGCAUGGGCGUAGCCUUCCUCCCAAGCCAGCACCGGCGGCCCGAAGAACCCUUGGGCACCCCUCCCACGCCUCUGGGUCUUUAUCCAGCCAGCACUGGCGCCAUUUGCCGCGCAGUGAAGGGCCCAGACGAUUUCCUGCCCUGGACAUCCAAGCAAGACUUUGUGCCUGGCUGAGGUGGUGAGGUUGGUAGGGAACAGCCCUACAGAAGUCCCAACUCUUCUCAGACACAGGUGAGCAGAAAGAGCGUGGUUAGAAGAGGAAGCGGGAGGGAGCAGAGGUGCAAGUACAGCAGUUAAAAGGUGGACCACGUGGCCCACUAGGGAAAGGAGACCAGCAUAGACUAUGACCAUUUUCCAAGUUUGGCUUCUUACCUGAGAUGAGUUUAUCUACACAGUAACCCCUUUUAUUUCAGAUUUACCAAAUGAAAGUUUUCUUUCUUAAGUAUCUUUGUGCAGGAGGCCCCAGCCCAUAGGCACAGCCACAACACACUUAACCAUUGUGGGAGCUUGGAGGCUUUCCUGCCUCAGCGCACACUUCAGGCUUUCCCCUCUGCCUGUAAUCCUGCUUUCCAGCCCUACAUGUGGAAAUCCUGACAACCUUCCAGGUACUGGGUUUUUCCUCUGCAGCCCCUGGUCACAUCCUCUUCCUUUUUUAUUGCCCUUUUAUGUAAUUUUUCUAGCACCACAUUUUCAUUUGGUGAUAAGGAUUUCUGUGCCUUAGACUUUUGUGAUAAGGAUUUUUGUGCAAGUCUUAAGUUUUAAAUCCUGAACACUGCUCACAAAGGUAUGAAAUAAAUGUCAGACUGAAUUAAAUUCACUGGAACUAGUUCAAGUGUAAAAAGAAUCCUUUUUUAAAUGACAGUAUAUUUUUUAUACCUUUUCCAAACCAUUCUCAAAACAUUUAAUCCUGAUAUAUGUGGUUAAGAGGGUAGAAAUUUAAUCCAACUAUGGGGUUUGGAGGUAGGGCCUUCAUGAAAUUAUAAGAUUACGUAAGGUCAUCCAGAUGGUGCCCCCAUGAUUGGCUUUGGGAGAAGGGAGAGAGGACAGAGGAGGAGACACACAUGUCCCUUGCUUGGUGUUGCCUUUUCUUGGGCAUCUGCACAAAGAAAGGCAUCACCAGUGUGGCUCCUCAGCCUUGGACAUCCAGUUUCAUAGCCCAAAAUAAACCAAUUUCAUUUAAAAAUUAUCC